rnacentral:rRNA from 1 species
CCUACGGGUGACAGCAGUGAGGAAUAUUGGUCAAUGGACGAAAGUCUGAACCAGCCAAGUCGCGUGAAGGAUGACUGCCCUAUGGGUUGUAAACUUCUUUUAUAAAGGAAUAAAACGAGGCACGUGUGCCUUUUUGCAUGUACUUUAUGAAUAAGGAUCGGCUAAAUCCGUGCCAGCAGCCGCGGUAAUACGGAGGAUCCGAGCGUUAUCCGGAUUUAUUGGGUUUAAAGGGAGCGUAGAUGGGUUGUUAAGUCAGUUGUGAAAGUUUGCGGCUCAACCGUAAAAUUGCAAUUGAUACUGGUAGUCUUGAGUACAGUUGAGGUAGGCGGAAUUCGUGGUGUAGCGGUGAAAUGCUUAGAUAUCACGAAGAACCCCGAUUGCGAAGGCAGCUUACUAAACUGUGACUGACAUUGAUGCUCGAAAGUGUGGGUAUCAAACAGGAUUAGAUACCCUAGUAGUC